ACAUCAGUCUGUGUUAUUGCCCCCGAGGUAACAUAGCAUGGUUUCGGUGUAUUUACUUUUAACAUUUGUUCAUGCUUGGCUGUCAAAUGAAAUAUUUUUAGAAUGGAACAUGAUGUUUUAGUUUGAUAUUAAUUUUGGAACCUAAAUUUUAAAAAAUUAAAAAUGUUAGAAAAAGUGGAAAUUCGGUGAAUAAAUGGAAUUAGCUAUCACAUGGCUAAUUCCAGCAAAGGUCUGAGAAAUAAUACACUUGAACUUUAAAGUAUGGGUCCCUCCAAGAAGGUCCAAAAUUGUUAGAGGCUGAAAUAUCAUAGGUAUUGAAUAUUCAGUGUGUUACUCUAGAAAAAAUUUACUAAUCCUAAAUAAGCAGCAAAUUUUUAUUUUAUUCUGUCGCUGUUAAAUGAAAAUAUUUGAAAGAUUAAUAACAGGACUAUGUAUUUGAAUAGAUAGUAAAAUAAAGGCAGCAACAGUUGCUUUAUAUAAAUUUGUUUGCUUUUACAAUGAUUACUUUGCGUGCUAAAGUGUUCCAGGGUAGAAAGUGAGUUGAGCUGGAGCAAACACACCACAGAAGAACAAAACAGCAGAUUAACAAGCUGGUGGGGAGGGGAGGGAAAUGAAAGGAAUGCUACUGGCUGCAAAAAAACCCCCAAAACUGGUACCAGUUAAAACCAGGCACCAUUUGCCUACCAGUGUUAGCUAGAAUGCUAGACUCACGUGAGCACGGGGUUUUUUAAUGACUAUAAGGGGUGAUAGAUAUGCAUUCUUGCACCGGGUUAAUGACAGUUGCUACUGGAACGCCCUUUUUGGAGAGCAGUCUAGCCAUUUGACGUAAGAGCCUUAAUCUGUUCAUAUCUUUUAACCUAAUAGUUCUGCUCCUGGGUUUCUGUCCAAAGGAAAGACUCAAAUAUAAGGUUUUUUUUUUAAAAAAAAUUAACCCACAAAAGGUUUUCAGCUCCUCAUUACAGCAUUUUUAUAAAAGAUUAGAAGCAACCUGAGUAUCUGAUGGUUAAACUACGAUAUAACUACUUGGUGGAAUAUUGUGUAGCCAUUAAAAAUAUAAGAACAUGUAGUAACAAAGAAUAAUAUGUUAAAAUGCUAAAUUUAAUAAGAAAAAAAAUGAGCAUAUAGCAUGACCAUGGCAAUCGCAAAGGAGCCCAACGCACAGGAAAAAGCAGCAGGAAAUAGUGUACCAAGUAACCGUGGAUGGCUUCCUUUUCUUCUCCAUAUUUCUCAGAUUUUUUGUCAUAACCCAUAUGUAUUUUUUAUGAUAAGGAAAAAUAAGCUCGUCAUUUAAAGUCUUGUGUUGCUCUCAGGGAGUAACUAACAUCACUUUGCCGACCUCUUUUCCCAGUCGUCUCCUUAGUGCAUCCUGUUGUUCCUUCUUGACCUUGUUCCCUUUGGCCUCAUUGUUUUCUGUUGAAAGCUCCAUCUGUCCAUCUACUGAUCACUCUCACUUCCUUUAAAUACUUCUCAAGGUAUGCCUUUUCAUAAAGCAUUCUGAAUUACUUCAGCGUUCUCUCUGGGUACUUUUAUAUCUUUUUUACAUGGUUCUGGUGUGAUAGCCUCCAUACAUUAAUAUCUGAAUCCAAAGUCUAAAGAAAAUCGGCCACCUUCCUGGGUCCUGAAGGAAAGUGACCACGUCCUUCCUGUUGAUCCUGUUGAGGCCUGUGGUGGGUGGGGUGGAAGGAAGGCAGCCUGGGCGAUGAGGGCCUCCAGGCUCUCCAAAGGAGCCGGGAGCCCACGCAGGACACCGUGUUGGUGCGGCUCCGGGAAUGUGCGGGGCCUGUUUCUCGGCGCAGCACAGGCUCGUCUGGGUUCCUGCGUGUGUUCAGUUUAGAGCAGUUCACGGCAAACGGCAACGGCUCCCUCAUGGUUGGAGCAAAGAGGGGCCGAGGCCUGGCUCUCCAUCGACCAGCAUCACCGUCUCUGCAAGGUGCCUCAUGUCUUGGGCGCCACUGAUGGAUUUAGAAAAUUAAAGUUUCUUCCAGCUUUAAGUUUUUAUAAUUUAUAUUUUCUCCACUGUAGUAUUCAGUGUUAUACAGGACAAUAAUGAUAAUACAACACAAUGUUAACAUCAUUUUCAGUAUAAAAGCCGUGUACCUUUAUCAGUUUACACUUGGUGAAGCAGCUUUUGGGAGGGCUCAGGAAGGAAGAUUUGCGUCAUGUAAGCCUGGUAAGUGUUGUGCUGUCUGGUAAGUGGGAGGGCACACACUCAGUGACUUUGGGCGUGUUCUUUAUGUCUUCUGUGGGGUGAGCUGAGGUCUGUACUGGCCAUUCAGCUCUGACAGGGGUCCUCACUGACCAAGCGCAGGGAGCCUUGGCUGCUGCCCCCUUGUGGCAGCCCUGAAACUUGACAUGCACCGGGAAUGCAUCGUAUCCCUUUCCAGGCCCACGGGCUCCGAUUGCAGAGGAUUUGUAUCUUCCUGGUCAACUACAUUACUGACACGUUUUUAAAAAGUUUCUCAGACAUGAGUAACGGGCAAAACCAUGGAGCCCCUGGAAUGACUCGUGUAAUCGCUCUCCUGCUCUCUGGGUUGGUUGCCCAUGUGUCCCUGUCAUGGCAGAAAAUUGUUGAAUAGGGCUUUUGAAAUGUUAGUAAUUGCUGGAAGGCCCCGCUUAGCUCUUCUCUGAAGUAUUCUAAAUGUCUGACUAGAAACUAUAUGAAAAACACCGAAGUCUAAAGACGACGUCUUCCUCGACACCGAGGAAGGCGGUCUCCCUGUUCUGCCCGCGGCACCAUCGACUGUCGACGUCAUUUCCUCAUAAGUCGCCCUCCACUGCCUCACUUCCUUCUUCCAGCUUCACUUACACUGUUCUCCUAGUUUUGUAUCACAGCAGUUCAUCCGUUUUUGUCUCUCUGAAUAGAUUAUAAAAUAAUCGGAGGCAAAAGUUGUACUUUCUUCUCUUUUAUUCCUUAUUUGUUCUCCCAACAAACAUUUGUUGAGUAUGAUGUUCCAGACACUCUGGUAGCUUCUCAGUGGAAGGCAGUGUAUACAGUCAACUUGGUCCCUGCCCUUUUGGGCUUAUAUUUGGGGGCUUUGAAAGGAAGUGUGGGAGUUGUGAACAGAAAUCCUAGGAAAGGAAAGAGGAAAGCAGAACUCAAGAGGGUGUGCAGGUGCUUGUGUGUGCAUCUGAGCAUGGGGUCCAGAUGCACAGGGAGCAGGGCCUUGGUGGAGGCAAUUCUCCGGUCAGUGCUUCCCAGACUCUGAUGUCUGAGGAAUUGUCUGGGGCUCCUGCUGAACCGGAGCCACUGCUGUGGGCAGCCUGAGGGCCUGCGUCUGAGGGUGAGACACUCUGGUCCAGGGCCCCACAUUGAACACGAAGUUUCUAAAGGACACUCCCCGGAGUCUUUUCUGUCAUCCCCUCCACACCUUGCUUCUCAGGCUCAAAGGAUUCCAGUCCUUCAGGCCAAGGUGCAGCAGGACACCAGAUAAUAAAGUCAAAGGCUUACUCUGGUAAUAACCUCAAAAAUUGUUUUAGUCUCACCUUUCUCUAUGGAUGUGGAAACUAAAGAAGAGAUUGUUACCUACCCAAGGUGCACAGCAAGCUGGUAACAGGUUCAAGCCUGAGCUUUAGGUAUCCCUUGUAGGCAGGAAUAUGCUAUUUGAGAGCUAACACGACUUACAGAAGGGACUACCUACUACCUGUGAACCCUAAAACCCGACAUGCCCGGCCUCCUUAGUUGCUGCAGCUGACUGUGUGGGUCUUCUCUGGUCCUUCAUCAUUUGUUAGCUCAUCUAUACAGGAAGAGGAAGAAUGAUUAGGAAGAGAUACGUUUUAUGAUAACAUCACUGCCAAACAUGCGAAGUUGAGGCAUGAAAUUUGAACUACUGAGGAGCAGCCAUUGGGAGCUAACUUCUGCCCUUCUGGAAGGAGAGAGUGGGGCCCGAGCUGGCCAUUGUCACAGGGCAAAAGACAGAUUUGACUCUGCGUUGAGGGCCAAGCACUCAGUUCAAUUACUCUUUUAGUCUCCCACCAGUCAGGACUUGAUGGCAUUGGGAGGCUCCUGUAAUUCAUUUCUGGAAGUUAGAAAAUUCCGUGGUAGACCAGUAGGCUGCCAGCUGGUCAUAGCUCUAGGGAGGCCCAGGGUGUGCCUCUGCUUGUUUGCCACAGUAGGAAAUCAAGACUGGCCUCAGGAAGAACCUCCCAGCUGUCCUGAUUCCCAAGGAAAAUGUCAUUGGUUUUGCAAGAAGUGUUGCUUUUUACCAAGAACCAGAGCAGGGGAGGGAAAAGCUCACAUCCUCUACAGUACCUGAAGGUGAGUAGGUGUGUUGAGGCACAGAUGAGGCUGGCCAGCUGGUGGGGCCUCAGAAUGUUUGCCUUUGACUUCACUGCCCCAGAGCUGUGCUGAGCUCUGCAUCUCCUGCCCCCUCUCUGGGUCCCCACGAGCUCUUUUGGUCGAGGGCCUGGGAGGGAAUCAGUUUUGAUUGGGAGGGUGCAGUGAGGUGAAAAUGAACAAGUGCUUUAACAUAGACUAGGAUGAGUUUGAGGUUAACUUCUUUUGUUAAUAUGUAAUACUCAUAUUUGUGUAAAUAUCAAUAGUUUUUAUUAUGUUGUCUGUUCAACUAGAUUGAAAACCACAGAAGGUUAGGAUCAAACCUGGUUUUUCACAUUUUCCAUUGUGUUUAGUGCUGUGCUAAGUGCGUACCAAGGUGUCUAAUCAAUAUUUGUUUGAUUGCCAACCAGUGCUGCCUGGGUUUAUGUCCUGAUGUUGACUUCCAUGGGACCCUGGUCAAGUCACCCAGUCUCUGACUGGUCUUCAGUGUUUUCAUCUAGAAAUGGGGGAGGCAGUGAUAUCCACCUCCAAGGUGUGUUCUGAGGAUUAAAUUAUAAG